AUGGAGAGGAGCCUGGGAUCUGUGCUGGGGCUGCUGUGGGUUAAGGUUUACUGGGUCAGAGGGAUGCAGGUGGAGCAGAAUCCUUCAGCUCUCAGUCUCCAGGAGGGAGCCGGCUCUUCUCUGAGAUGCAAUUUUUCUAUAACCAUGACAAAUGUGCAGUGGUUCCGACAGAAUCCCGGCGGCAGCCUCCUCAGGCUGUUCUUCAUGGCUCCAGGAACAAAGGAGAAUGGGAGGUUAAAGUCAACAUUUGACUCCAAGGAGCGCUAUAGCACCCUGCACAUCAGGGAUGCCCAGCUGGAGGACUCAGGCACCUACCUCUGUGCUGCUGAUGCACAGUGCUCCCAGCUAGCCUGCAGCCUGGCCCCAAACUGCAGCUGGGUGUGCAGCUACAGCCCUGCCCCAGGGAGACUCGGAAGGAGGCUUUGCACAGCUGUGGGGUUUCCAAUUUAUGCUGUGUCUCUGUCAUCUCUGCUAACACUAGAGAGUUCAGGAUUGCUGUUUCCUAUCAGUGCGCCCUUUCCUCACAGAUACCCAUUUUCAGGAAGAAGUUCUCAUGAAGAGUACUGGGACAACUGACAAAGAUGACAAGGUUCACAGUACUGUCAAGUAGAUCCACUGCACAGUGUUCACUGCUCUUUAUUGCUCUACAAAGUCAUCAAACAGACGUGCUCUUCAGCAAACAGAAAAGAUAUUACUCAAUGUUUCAGUCAAUUGCAUAUCUUUCCAUUAUCGGAAGAAUGGGACUUUUACCAGCUUUUUUGAGAAUUUCAUACAAUGCACUUCGAUCAUAUUCAGUUCUCCACCAGUUUCUACCAGUCCCACCCCUCCUCUUUACU